rnacentral:lncRNA from 1 species
UUUUUUUUGAGCUUGUUUCCCUAAGGUACUGAGGCUGGCUUUGAACUUGAGAUCUUCCUGCCUUAGCUUCCCAAGAAGGUGGGAUUUCAGGGAUGUGCACACAGCAGAAGCACAUUUCAUUUCAACACACUGUUCCUGAGCUGGAAGUGCAUUAAAAAAAAAAAUCUGGGCUUGGGGUAAAACUCAGUGGUAGAGUGCUUUUUUAGUAUUUAUGAGGACUUGGGUUUGAUUCCCAGCAAUAUAAAACCCCAAACAGAAAACAAACUAAAAGAUAGAUAUUGAGGUUUAACACAAGGUAGGUAGAAUCAUGGAUGUUUUAAUUUUCUUCUUUUAGAUUAUCUGAGUUUUCUAGUAUUUCAGGAAUAACUUUUGAAUUGCUUUUAAAAUGAGACAUAAACUUUAUUCUAAAUUGCAAAAGAAAAAAUAAAAUAAAAUUGAUGGAGUGCUCAUUCACUUCUAUCCCCUUGCUUAGGAACAUUAUGCUAUCGAGAGAGAGAUGGCAAACCUCAGAAACAGAGGUCUGCUGAGAUUUUACCUCUACUCUUGACUAGUUGGGUGACCUGUUCUAUGAGACAUUAUUGUUUUAUUAUUAUUUUGGUAUCAGGGGUGCUUAACCACUGAGCUGCAUCCCCUGCCCUUUUUAUAUUUUAUUAGAGACAGGGUCUUGCUGUGUUGUUCAGGGCCUCCCUAAGAUGCUGAGGCUGGCUUUGAACUCACAAUUCUCCUGCCUCACCCUCCCAAGUGCUAGAGUAUGAGACUUUCUAAAAAAAAAUUAUUUAUUUAUUUUUUAUGUGAUGUUGAGGUUUGAACCCAGGGCCUCAAGUGUGUGAGGCAAGCACUCUACCACUGAGCUACAGCCUCAGCCCAGCCUACAACCUCAGCCCAGGAGUAUGAGAUUUUUUAAGAGGUCUAUUUCUUCAUCUCUAGAUAGGGACAGGGUACCUAUGUUACACACUCGUGAUGGGUGUGAACACAGGCUCUGAGCCAGACAGACCUGGGUUCAAAUCCUAGGUUUUGCCACACACCAACACACCAGCAUUUUUUUUUUGGAAGUGCUUGGGAUUGAACCCAGGCAGGGCCUUGUGCAUGUGAGGCAAUCACUCUACCAACUGAGCUAUAUCCUUAGCUCCUACACACAGCCUUUUGACUUUGAAUAAAAAAGUUUGUUUCCUUAUCCCUAAAGUAGAGAUGACAAUAACACUAUCUUUUUGUGAGCAUUAUUGAGGUAAUCAAGUUGUUGGCUCAGUACUUAGUAUAUGGGAAGCUCUCUAUAAACAGCAGUCAUGUGGACAGGUCUAAAAUGAAGUAGUAGGGGGCUGGGGAUGUGGCUCAAGCGGUAGCGCUCUC